UGGUGUAGUGGUCUGUAUACCAGACUACAACUUUGGAGACCAGGGUUUGAAUCCCUG
rnacentral:tRNA from 1 species